rnacentral:rRNA from 1 species
GACGGGCCCGCACAAGCAGCGGAGCGUGUGGUUUAAUUCGAUGCUACACGAAGAACCUUACCAGGGUUGACAUACAAGUAGUAGGGAAAGGAAACUGGACCGACCCUUCGGGGAGCUUGUACAGGUGCUGCAUGGCUGUCGUCAGCUCGUGUCGUGAGAUGUUCGGUUAAGUCCGCUAACGAGCGCAACCCUCGCUGUGUGUUACAAGUGUCACACGGAACUGCCGGUCAUAAACCGGAGGAAGGUGGGAUGACGUCAAGUCAGCAUGACCUUUAUAUCCAGGGCUACACACACGCUACAAUGGUCAGUACAAUGGGUUGCCAAGCCGCGAGGCGGAGCCAAUCCUAAAAAGCUGGCCUCAGUUCAGAUUGCAGUCUGAAACUCGACUGCAUGAAGUCGGAGUUGCUAGUAAACGCAGGUCAGCUAUACUGCGUUGAAUACGUUCCCGGGUCUU